CCUACGGGAGGCUGCAGUGGGGAAUAUUGGACAAUGGGCGAAAGCCUGAUCCAGCCAUGCCGCGUGUGUGAAGAAGGCCUUCGGGUUGUAAAGCACUUUCAGUGGGGAAGAAAGCCUUGGGGCUAAUACCCUCGAGGAAGGACAUCACCCACAGAAGAAGCACCGGCUAACUCCGUGCCAGCAGCCGCGGUAAUACGGAGGGUGCGAGCGUUAAUCGGAAUUACUGGGCGUAAAGGCGCGUAGGCGGUCUGAUAAGCCGGUUGUGAAAGCCCCGGGCUCAACCUGGGAACGGCAUCCGGAACUGUCAGGCUAGAGUGCAGGAGAGGAAGGUAGAAUUCCCGGUGUAGCGGUGAAAUGCGUAGAGAUCGGGAGGAAUACCAGUGGCGAAGGCGGCCUUCUGGACUGACACUGACGCUGAGGUGCGAAAGCGUGGGUAGCAAACAGGAUUAGAUACCCUAGUAGUC
rnacentral:rRNA from 1 species